GCCGCCGUAGCUCAGCCUGGUUAGAGCGCCGGCCUUGUAAGCCGGCGGUCGCGGGUUCGAAUCCCGCCGGCGGCU
rnacentral:tRNA from 22 species